rnacentral:tRNA from 1 species
CGCGGGAUAGAGCAGUUGGUAGCUCGUCAGGCUCAUAACCUGAAGGUCGUGUGGUUCGAGUCCCACUCCCGCUA